rnacentral:rRNA from 1 species
GACGAACGCUGGCGGCGUGCCUAAUACAUGCAAGUCGAGCGAAUUUACGAGAGCUUGCUCUCGUAAAUUAGCGGCGGACGGGUGAGUAACACGUGGGCAACCUGCCUAUAAGACUGGGAUAACUUCGGGAAACCGGAGCUAAUACCGGAUAAUUCACAUCUACUCAUGUAGAUGUGCUGAAAGACGGUUUCGGCUGUCACUUAUAGAUGGGCCCGCGGCGCAUUAGCUAGUUGGUGAGGUAACGGCUCACCAAGGCCACGAUGCAUAGCCGACCUGAGAGGGUGAUCGGCCACACUGGGACUGAGACACGGCCCAGACUCCUACGGGAGGCAGCAGUAGGGAAUCUUCCGCAAUGGACGAAAGUCUGACGGAGCAACGCCGCGUGAGUGAUGAAGGUUUUCGGAUCGUAAAACUCUGUUGUUAGGGAAGAACAAGUACCAGAGUAACUGCUGGUACCUUGACGGUACCUAACCAGAAAGCCACGGCUAACUACGUGCCAGCCGCCGCGGUAA